AUCUACGGCCACACUACCCUGAACACAUCCCGAAGUCUCUGAUCUGGGCAGACAAGCAGGGCCUGGGUAGGACUUGGAUUGGAGGCUGCCUGGGAAUACCAAGGGCUGUAGACU
rnacentral:rRNA from 1 species